rnacentral:snoRNA from 1 species
CUAAUAGUCUUGUUUUUCUGGAUAAGCUUAGCCUGUCCUAACCUGGAUUCUAAUCAGAAUAGGCUAAGCAUCGUCACUCUUCGAGGACCCGUGAUGUAUCCCCAGACCUAGUUAUUUCCCUAGGUCUGUCCCAUAAAUUCUGAUGAUGAAA